rnacentral:rRNA from 1 species
GAUGAACGCUGGCGGCGUGCCUAAUACAUGCAAGUCGAGCGAACAGACGCGGCGCUUGCUCCUCGGACGUUAGCGGCGGACGGGUGAGUAACACGUGGAUACCCUACCUGUAAGACUGGGAUAACUUCGGGAAACCGGAGCUAAUACCGGAGAAUAUAUUGAACCGCAUGGUGGAAUAGUGAAAGACGGUGGUGCUGUCACUUAUCGAUGGAUCCGCGCCGCAUGAGCUAGUUGGUGCGUUAACGGGUUACCAAGGCAACGAUGCGUAGCCGACGGGAGGGGGGGGUAGGCGACCUGGGAGGGUAGCCGGGGACAAUAGUCCUACGGGACGCAGCAGUAGGGAACGGGCCGCAGCGGUCGGAAGCCUGACGGAGUAACGCCGAGCGAGUGACGACGGUGCCCGGAGCGUAAAAACCUCUUACUAGUUAAGAACAACUGUGGAAGUAGACGUGGCGGUCGUGACGGUACCUAAUAAGAAAGCAACGGCUAACUACGUG